CCCGGUCUAGCUCAGUCGGUAGAGCGCAAGGCUCUUAACCUUGUGGUCCUGGGUUCAAGUUCCAGGGUGGGCG
rnacentral:tRNA from 1 species